rnacentral:rRNA from 1 species
AUUGAACGCUGGCGGCAGGCCUAACACAUGCAAGUCGAACGAGUGGCGGACGGGUGAGUAAUGUCUGGGAAACUGCCUGCUGGAGGGGGAUAACUACUGGAAACGGUAGCUAAUACCGCAUACCAUCAGAUGUGCCCAGAUGGGAUUAGCUUGUGGGUGGGGUAACGGCUCCCCAAGGCGACGAUCCUUAGCUGGUCGGAGAGGAUGACAAGCCACACGGGAACUGAGACACGGGCCAGACUCCUACGGGAGGCAGCAGUGGGGAAGAUUGCACAAUGGGCGAAAGCCUGAUGCAGCCAUGCCGGGUGUAUGAAGAAGGCCUGCGGGUUGUAAAGUACUUGCAGCGGGGAGGCGUUACCCGCAGAAGAAGCACCGGCUAACUCCGUGCCAGCAGCCGCGGUAAUAC